GAUGAAGAACGGAGCGAAAUGCGAUAAGUAAUGUGAAUUGCAGAAUUCAGUGAAUCAUCGAAUCUUUGAACGCACAUUGCGCCCGCCAGUAUUCUGGCGGGCAUGCCUGUCCGAGCGUCAUUUCAACCAUCAAGCCCCGGGCUUGUGUUGGGGACCUGCGUCCGACGCAGGCCCUGAAAACCAGUGGCGGGCUCGCUGUCCACACCGAGCGUAGUAACUAACCUCGCUAUGGAGUGGCGCGGGCGCCUGCCGUAAAACCCCCAAUUUCACAAGGUUGACCUCGGAUCAGGGAGGAAUACCCGCUGAACUUAAGCAUAUCAAUAAGCGGAGGA
rnacentral:misc_RNA from 1 species